rnacentral:rRNA from 1 species
AACUAACGCUGGCGGCGUGCCUAACACAUGCAAGUCGUACGAGAAAGUCGGCUUCGGCCGGCGAGUAAAGUGGCGCACGGGUGAGUAACGCGUGGAUAAUCUACCCUUGAGUUGGGAAUAACGUGCCGAAAGGUGCGCUAAUACCGCAUAAUGCCUGGCAACACAAGUUGUCCGGCCAAAGAAGGCCUCUGUUUACAAGCUUUCGCUUCAGGAUGAGUCCGCGUACCAUUAGCUUGUUGGUGGGGUAAUGGCCUACCAAGGCUGCGAUGGUUAGCUGGUCUGAGAGGAUGAUCAGCCACACUGGAACUGAGACACGGUCCAGACUCCUACGGGAGGCAGCAGUGAGGAAUAUUGCGCAAUGGGGGCAACCCUGACGCAGCAACGCCGCGUGAGUGAGGAAGGUUUUCGGACUGUAAAGCUCUGUCGAGCGGGAAGAAGUGUACCAUGGCUAAUAUCCAUGAUAUUUGACGGUACCGCUAGAGG